rnacentral:rRNA from 1 species
AUUGAACGCUGGCGGCAGGCCUAACACAUGCAAGUCGAGCGGAGCGGCGGACGGGUGAGUAAUGCCUAGGAAUCUGCCCGGUCGCGGGGGAUAACGCCCGGAAACGGGCGCUAAUACCGCAUACUAUCCAAUGAGCCUAGGUCGGAUUAGCUAGCUGGUGGGGUAAAGGCCUACCAAGGCGACGAUCCGUAACUGGUCUGAGGGGAUGAUCAGUCACGCUGGGACUGGGACGCGGUCCAGAAUCCGACGGGAGGCACGGGUGGCGAAUCUUCGACAAGUGGCAGAAGCCUUAUCCGGCCAUGCCGCGUGUGUGAAAAAGAUCUUCGUAUUGUAGAGCACUUUAAGUUUGGAAGCGUUACCAACAGAAUAAGCACCGGCUAACUUCGUGCCAGCAGCCGCGGUAAUAC